GCCCCUCUCCCGAGCCCGCCGCGGCAGUUGGCGCGCUACACGCCGGAGCCUUCACCUUCUUCCUUUGCCAUCGUCUCCGCGGAGACCCGAGUGGCCCUACGGCUCCCGAGCAGCCCGGAGUCUCCCAAACCUCCGAGUAUCCAAACCCCGCGGCCGCCCCGGCCAGCUCCCGGCUGCCGCGCCCCCACUUCCUGACCCGCCCCCCUCUGGUGUCUCCGCCAACUGGGUCCCUCCAAGGCGCUCCGGGAACCAGAGUGCAGGGAGCGGGGCCCGGCCGGAGCGUUUCGCUAGAGCGCCUCAGCCAUGCCCACGAUGGCCACGGGAUGGCAAUGCUCCUGGGAGGAGCGAGUCCCCGCCGCCGCCCUCGCUCCUUGCUGAGCCUCACAGGAAAGCAGGAGCCAGAGCAAGCUUUUCGUGACGCUGGGAUCCGUCUCAGAAAGUCAUAGACUGUAGGCCAGAUCCAGUCCCUAUGUCCGGCCGAUUUUUCAAACAGAAAACGGAGUUUCAACUGCAGAGCAACGAGUCCUGGACUUGUUACGAUGAUUUCAAAGCCAGGCAAGACGUUCUAGGCACAUCAGCUCCUGGUAGCAUCCCCAAUCUACUUCAAAGAUGAUGAUGAGCAAAGAAGGACCGCUACAUGGAGUUCGCUUCAGUUGUGGCAAACAUGGCCACUGGGCAAAAAACCUGCCCCUUACCUCAAUGGCUGACAGCAGGCUCUCCAAACUGUGGAAAAGCAGGACACUGGGAAGUUGAUUGAUCCACUUUGCUGAGACAAGGCGAAGGGCUACUGUUGGUCAAGUGAGAGGGCAAUGCUCGACUCCACAGUCAAGGUGAUGAUGCAAACUAAAAAUAGCCACAACCUAGGCAUUGCAUCCAAGCAAAGGACGAGAGUAACAAAGAAACAUGUGCUUUGGAUCAAAUCACUUUCCCGCCGAGUUCCAUCAGGCAGCUGUACCAGCUAGUGCCAAAUACUGCACUCUGGUCCAAAGCACAGCUAUACAAGCGGUGCUAAACACUGAGCGCUGCUGGUACCUGCAGAGAAAAACCCUCAAAUCCUUUAACAAGGGAACAGGGAGACAGAAGAUUGGGAAUGCACAGUGAGGCUUCCGGAGCAACUAAUGGCGGAUGGUAGACGCUAGUGGAAUGCAUUUUACUCCAAGUCUUCAACUUAGGAAAUAAAUGAUGCCACGUUAACAAGGCAGGCCUUAUGCUGCAGACCAACCUGAGGCUGCCUGGGAACUCACUAAAUAGCCAAUUGAGCUUUGUACUUCGUUCUUUUUGCAUAGUUUUGGCUGGUCUUUCUUGAACUCACAAAAAUCCACCUGCCUCUGCCUUGUAAAUAUAGCUGAAUAAUCACCUGGAAGAAAGAGAACUGACCCCUGAGGACUGAGCACCACUCUUCAGCUACUGACCCCUGAGGACUGAGCACCACUCUUCAGCUACUGACCCCCGAGGACUGAGCACCACUCUUCAGCUACUGACCCCCGAGGACUGAGCACCACUCUUCAGCUACUGACCCCCGAGGACUGAGCACCACUCUUCAGCUACUGACCCCCGAGGACUGAGCACCACUCUUCAGCUACUGACCCCCGAGGACUGAGCACCACUCUUCAGCUACUGACCCCCGAGGACUGAGCACCACUCUUCAGCUACUGACCCCCGAGGACUGAGCACCACUCUUCGGAAGAACGUGUGAGCGAAGAAGGAAAAUGUGACUUCAAUACUGGACUUUUCUUCAGUCCAAUUUCCCAACUAAUGGAAAAUAAUUCUUGCAUGUUGAAAGUCCUUAAGACAAUAACGGCUAGGGUGGUGCCAGAGAUUCUAUCUAAUCAGACAGUUUUACCUACGAGCACAUCAUCCCUGAGUCACGGACAUGGAAUGGUCUCUGUAGACAGGGCUCGCCCACGCUGCGCUGCACAUCCUCGGAGGCAUCGCAGAACUUCGCUCUUCUGAAGACUCAAGCUAAUUUCAGCUCUAGGGGGUAGAAGGACCGCUUUUGCUCAUAGACCAGUAAGGGACUAAAAGUUACUUGUUUUUAGACUUUAUAGGUAGAAAAAACUUGACUUAAUCAAAUGACUUUACGAAGGAAUGGGGUUUGCUCAGAUGAACCAAACAGAAAUGGUAAUAUUCACUGUUACAGAUCUAUCACCAAGAAGACAGUGAUGGAUGGAUACAUGCAGUAGGCAAAACAAAACAAACAAGAUGAAAGCAAAGGCAGAAAACCACGUCACUUCAUGGAGGACAAGAACCCAUCCCAGUCCAAGAAUCAGAACAAGCCUGUUAGGUGGGGGUCUUAUUUUCAUCUCCAAGGUUAGGCAGGUUUUUCAUUUUUAUUUUUCCCUAGUGCAGUUAAAAGAGGCUUUAUGAUUUUUAAAUACUCAAUGGGACAGCCCAUGCUUAAAUGUUCCUAUUUAUUUACUCUUAAUUAUUUGAAGUAAUGGAGACUGACCAUGAAAAAUAGGCUUGGUGGUAUACAGCAAUAAUCCCUG
rnacentral:lncRNA from 1 species